rnacentral:lncRNA from 1 species
GUCAGAUCUCUUUCACUGUCAUAACUUUCUCACUGUUGUAAUUUUUGCAAGGGUAGUUUAACUUUCUAUAUCUGGGAACUCAUCUCUUAUCAGUUCUGGAAAUUCUCUUUUAUUAUCUUUUUUAAUAUUGGUUUUUCAUCUAUUUUCUCUAGUCUUUUCUGCCACUCCUAUUAUAUUAAAUCUUAUUCUAUCCUCUAUGUCUUGACCCCUCUUUGAUGUUCUAUCUUCCUGUCUCUUUGUGUUAUAUUCCAGACUUUUGUAUUUCUGAUGACUGGAUGACUCCACCUGGACCCGAGACUCAUGACUCACCCAGUCCUGUGGCCCCACCCAGAAGUGGACUCAGAGCAAGAGGACCAUUUUCCACACCCCAAUGAGUGCAUCCCCAACCAAUCAGCAGCACCUGUUCCCUAGCCCCCUGACCACCAAACUCUCCUUGAGAAACCGUAGCCUCCAAAUUUUCUGGGAGGCUGAUUUGAGUAAUAAUAAAACUUUGGUCUCCUAUGUAGCUGGCUCUAUGUGUAUUAAACUCUUCCUCUAUUGCAAUUCCCCUGCCUUGGUAAGUCGG